rnacentral:rRNA from 1 species
UGGGGAAUAUUGGGUCAAUGGGAGGAAACUCUGAACCAGCAACGCCGCGUGAAUGAUGAAGGUCUUCGGAUUGUAAAGUUCUUUGAAGGGGAACGAAACAAAUGACGGUACCCCUAAAACAAGCCACGGCUAACUACGUGCCAGCAGCCGCGGUAAUACGUAGGUGGCAAGCGUUGUCCGGAAUGACUGGGCGUAAAGGGAGUGUAGGCGGUCUGCUAAGUUAGAAGUGAAAUCCCGAGGCUUAACCUCGGAACUGCUUUUAAAACUGGCGGACUUGAGUGAUGGAGAGGUAAAUGGAAUUCCUAGUGUAGCGGUGGAAUGCGUAGAU